rnacentral:rRNA from 1 species
UACAGAGGGCGCAAGCGUUAAUCGGAAUGACUGGGCGUAAAGCGCACGUAGGUGGCAAAACAGGUCUGAUGUGAAAGCCCCGGGCUUAACCUGGGAAAGGCGUUGGAAACGGUUAUGCUAGAGUCGAACAGAGGGUAGUGGAAUUUCCGGUGUAGCGGUGAAAUGCGUAGAGAUCGGAAAGAACACCAGUGGCGAAGGCGGCUACCUGGGUUCAGACUGACACUGAGGAGCGAAGGCAUGGGGAGCAAACAGG